UCGUCAGUGCGGUACAUCCUGACCUGCCCCGCCCUGCGGGCAGCGCGUGAUGAGUGCGUGCGCGAUGACGUCGGUGAUUACGUCACGCCGGCGCGCGGGCCACGCAACAAAGCCCGCGCUGCCACAGGCUCUGAC